GGUCUGGUGGUGUAGCGGUAACACGCCUGUUAGAGAUUGCGUUCAGAUUUGUGCAGUUUUCAGCGGAGUUCCUUGUUUGAUUCAAAGCCAGGCCA